UAGAAAAGUUGCAUCAUCAGAAGUUUAAAGUGCAAUCAUUUUUAGACAGGAGUAAUGAAGCAAUCGUGUGAAGUAGACAAAAGAGAUGCCUGACCAUGCAAGAAUCAAACUAAAGUCAACAACAAACUCUAUACGAGACACAGGUCAUCUUUUCUGCACAGCAACUUUACACAACUGUUGAAGGAAGGAAGUGAAGAAAGUGGAUUGUCUUACUCAGAUAUAUCGUACCAACAACUCUCUUAGCUAGUCUGAUUUGUGCUUUAACUGGUUAUCAGCAGAGGAAGUUUGAGAAAGAAUCAAGGGAGGACAUACCGAGGAGUCCUGCAGCACAGCAACAAUGAAGAAUCCAUUGAAAGUAUAUUCUUAAUUUGUUUAAUUAUAUCCUGUCACUUGAAUGCCAAAGAGAGGAUAUAUAUUGGCAUAGAAGCUAGACUACUUAUGUACCCUACAUUCUGAUCCUGCAUUUGACUCUAAGAUCUUUAGGCAGACCCCCCUAAAACAGUGGUCCCCAAUGCAGUGCCCGCGGGCGCCAUGGUGCCCACCGGGGCAUUUAUGUGCGCCCGCCUAGUGCCCAGCAGGUGAGAGAAGCUGCGGCCCUGUGCCUGC